GCAGGGUCUACCAUUAGACAACACAUUAUGCUUCCAAUAUCUUCCCAGGCGGUAGUACCUCCCUGUUUGAUAGCUGCCUACUACCUACUACCUCUGUCUUCCUCACAUAUUUCCACACUCGUCAAUCCAUCCCCUACCAGCUACAAUAAAGGUAUUUAUUAAAUAACUUUACGUUUAAUAUACAGUACAGUACUGUACUGACAACGCCGAUUCACCAAUAACAUAUAAACAUAGGCAGUGGCAAUUAGUUUAUUCAGACAACAAUCCCUUGGUAUUUCCCCUUCCCUAGUGUUGCAUCAGUAGGCCCUAAGUAGAAAGGGAAAAUAAAAAACUUAAGGCAAGAGAAAGUUGGGAUGAAGUCAGCUCCAAUAAGAAGCAUCAGGACCUUACUUUACCUUAAUGAUAAGUUAAAUAACUGUUCUGUGAUUUCAGUGUGAAACAGAGAUGUGACUGAUCGUCGAAGCAGCUGAUAGGCCGAUCAGUGAAGAGAAUAAAGUGACAUGCAUAACUGGCGAUUCUUAGUCAAUAUUUAUUAUGAUGAUUAUUUUAAUAAUAAUAAGAUUUAUAAAAAAAAAUAAUUACUGUACUUUUCUUGGAACUCUUCCUCCAACAUUUUUUUUUCAUCUCUGUAUUUCAGCUUGUUCACUACAAGGAAGCAGUUCAGUUCAUGUUAAAUCUAUCAGAAGUAUUACUACAUUAUUCACUUGCUUUUUGCUGGACAAAUUUUUUUUUGGUAGUAUGGGAUUUUUUCUUAACACUGCAUGUGGAAAUCAGAUCCUAUACUACCGAGCUAAAUCUUAGCAUUAUAGCAGAUGAAACAAACCGUCUAAACCUAAUUACGUUUAACAAAACAACGCCUUUACUUUCUCAUUUAUUUGACAUUCACCAUACAGCACGAAAAUAUUAUAAAGAAAAUCCACAUAAAGAUUGAAACAUAAUUCGAUCUUUUAAUGUUGAUAGUAUUUAUAACCUUGAUAUUCAUGUUACUAUGAACCUUUCCAAACAAAAAUUUAGGGUACUGUGUUGAAUAUUAAUAGAACCAAACUUAUGGUGGGUGAGGUUGUCUUCUUCCCAAGAUGCAGCUGUUACACAUACACAAAUUACAAUGCUGCUAUAGUUUAUUGAGUGAUACACCGAGACAAUAUUCCUAAUAUAUGAAUGAGAGACUCAUUUUGAUGCUAUUUGUAGUCUCGCAUUAUGAACAAUAUUUGACAGGCAUCCAAGAAUGUUUAAAUACUUUGUGAGCACAGGAUACUGGAGCAAGCAACAAUAUCAAAUCAAUGGGACAGAAUGCAUCUUUAAUCAAGGAUCACCUGGAGGCGGGCUGGUAACGCAGGAUGAUGACGGAGGCACUGACGAUGGUAUAUGCCAUGAGGGUACCGAUGCUCAUGAACUCCACCAGCUUCUCAAUGUCAAAGAGAAGAGCGAUGAGUGCUGAGAAAAAGCCACACAGCAUAAGGGUGAUGAUGGGCACCUGGGCAAAAAAUGAAACAAGUUAACACAUACCAGUACAAUAUAGUCAAUAUAUUAAUGUUUUUACUUAAUUUUAUAAUGUGUGUAUCCUUGCUGUAAAAUUGAAGUACAGUACAGUAUCAAUAAUUAAAGUGUAAAAUAAAGUGUUACCUGACACUGUGCAAGUAUUAGCCAACAAAACUGUAGUGCCAUCAAUAACUUUCCAUAACCUUUGGCUCCAGAAUGUUUUACUGUACCUCAAUUGGUAAUAUUGUUUUGUAAUUCACCAAUGGACAAAUAGGUACCUGUAUAGGAAAUUGUGACUUAAUACUGUACAUAAGUUCAACUUCUAAAAUUAUAAGUACUACACAAUAAACUCCAUAACUGUU